AGAGUUUGAUCAUGGCUCAGAUUGAACGCUGGCGGCAGGCCUAACACAUGCAAGUCGAACGGUAACAGGAAACAGCUUGCUGUUUCGCUGACGAGUGGCGGACGGGUGAGUAAUGUCUGGGAAACUGCCUGAUGGAGGGGGAUAACUACUGGAAACGGUAGCUAAUACCGCAUAACGUCGCAAGACCAAAGAGGGGGACCUUCGGGCCUCUUGCCAUCAGAUGUGCCCAGAUGGGAUUAGCUAGUAGGUGGGGUAACGGCUCACCUAGGCGACGAUCCCUAGCUGGUCUGAGAGGAUGACCAGCCACACUGGAACUGAGACACGGUCCAGACUCCUACGGGAGGCAGCAGUGGGGAAUAUUGCACAAUGGGCGCAAGCCUGAUGCAGCCAUGCCGCGUGUAUGAAGAAGGCCUUCGGGUUGUAAAGUACUUUCAGCGGGGAGGAAGGGAGUAAAGUUAAUACCUUUGCUCAUUGACGUUACCCGCAGAAGAAGCACCGGCUAACUCCGUGCCAGCAGCCGCGGUAAUACGGAGGGUGCAAGCGUUAAUCGGAAUUACUGGGCGUAAAGCGCACGCAGGCGGUUUGUUAAGUCAGAUGUGAAAUCCCCGGGCUCAACCUGGGAACUGCAUCUGAUACUGGCAAGCUUGAGUCUCGUAGAGGGGGGUAGAAUUCCAGGUGUAGCGGUGAAAUGCGUGGAGAUCUGGAGGAAUACCGGUGGCGAAGGCGGCCCCCUGGACGAAGACUGACGCUCAGGUGCGAAAGCGUGGGGAGCAAACAGGAUUAGAUACCCUGGUAGUCCACGCCGUAAACGAUGUCGACUUGGAGGUUGUGCCCUUGAGGCGUGGCUUCCGGAGCUAACGCGUUAAGUCGACCGCCUGGGGAGUACGGCCGCAAGGUUAAAACUCAAAUGAAUUGACGGGGGCCCGCACAAGCGGUGGAGCAUGUGGUUUAAUUCGAUGCAACGCGAAGAACCUUACCUGGUCUUGACAUCCACGGAAGUUUUCAGAGAUGAGAAUGUGCCUUCGGGAACCGUGAGACAGGUGCUGCAUGGCUGUCGUCAGCUCGUGUUGUGAAAUGUUGGGUUAAGUCCCGCAACGAGCGCAACCCUUAUCCUUUGUUGCCAGCGGUCCGGCCGGGAACUCAAAGGAGACUGCCAGUGAUAAACUGGAGGAAGGUGGGGAUGACGUCAAGUCAUCAUGGCCCUUACGACCAGGGCUACACACGUGCUACAAUGGCGCAUACAAAGAGAAGCGACCUCGCGAGAGCAAGCGGACCUCAUAAAGUGCGUCGUAGUCCGGAUUGGAGUCUGCAACUCGACUCCAUGAAGUCGGAAUCGCUAGUAAUCGUGGAUCAGAAUGCCACGGUGAAUACGUUCCCGGGCCUUGUACACACCGCCCGUCACACCAUGGGAGUGGGUUGCAAAAGAAGUAGGUAGCUUAACCUUCGGGAGGGCGCUUACCACUUUGUGAUUCAUGACUGGGGUGAAGUCGUAACAAGGUAACCGUAGGGGAACCUGCGGUUG
rnacentral:rRNA from 1 species